GAGCAGCAGACAGGGUAUAGAUAGAUAGAUGAGACAGUGGAACUCCCUGUAGUCUGUCUCUCUCUGUCUCUCCCUGUCUCUCCCUCACACAGAGAGCAGCAGACAUGGUAUAGAUAGAUAGAUGAGACAGUGGAACUCCCUGUAGUCUGUCUCUCUCUGUCUCUCCCUGUCUCUCUCUGUCUCUCUCUGUCUCUCCCUCACACAGAGAGCAGCAGACAGGGUAUAGAUAGAUAGAUGAGACAGUGGGACUCCCUGUAGUCUGUCUCUCUCUGUCUCUCCCUCACACAGAGAGCAGCAGACAGGGUAUAGAUAGAUAGAUGAGACAGUGGAACUCCCUGAUCUGACAUUUUAAUAGUCAUUACGUUUUGGAACAAAGCAAAUGUUUUUCUCAUGUUGACUUUCAUAUGAGACAAAAAUAAUGGUGUUCCCGGAAAAAAGGUCCAGUCGCCACAAAUACAAAUUCCAUCUAGACACCGUUGCCAUGGAGCACACAAGAAACUAUACAUACCUCGGCCUAAACAUCAGCGCCACAGUUAACUUCCACAGAGAUGUGAACGAUCUGAGAGACAAGGCAAGUGAAGGACAGACACCAUUGUAAAUACAACCCAUAUUUAUGUUGAUUUAUUUUCCCUUUUGUUCUUUAACUUGUAAAUACAACCCAUAUUUAUGUUUAUUUAUUUUCCCUUUUGUUCUUUAACUUGUAAAUACAACCCAUAUUUAUGUUGAUUUAUUUUCCCUUGUGUACUUUAACUAUAUGCACAUCAUUACAACACUGUAUAUAUAAAAAUAGUAUUACAUUUGAAAUGUCUGUGAGUGUAAUGUUUACUGUUCAUUGGUUAUGUUGACUUGUUAUUGUUUAUUUCACUUUUGUUUAUUAUCUACUUCACUUGCUUUGGCAAUGUUAACAUACGUUUCCCAUGACAAUAAGGCCCUUGGGGGAGGAGAGAGAGAGAUGGGAUGUCACAGAAGAUCAGGUCACCACGGGGGGUGACAACGUCAAGCUGGGGAACUCAGAUCUGCUGAUCUACGGACAAACGCAACAACAGCCCCAUUGCCAUGGAUCCUGACGGGCUCCGUCUGAUAGGCCGGUGACGCGGUAGUCCAGGCAACGCUGUCUCUUCAUGGAACACCCAGAGUUCCACAGGUUCUACAUCUAAAGGGUCCAACAGCAGCCUCUUCACCUGGAUGACUGAAGAUGAGCGUGAGGACUGAGUCAAUGUUCUAGAGGUCUCACUGCAGCCUCUUCAUCAGAAUGACUGAGGAGGAGUGUGAGGACUGGGUCAAUAUUCUAUAGGUUGACCCAGACUCUAAGGGGUUCAUUCAAAUAUGAACUUUAAAACUAUGCCUCUGAUGCGUUUCUUCAUCACCAACAGGAAAGACAAGUUUAAAUAUAGUGACAGUUUGUUUACCAACAGGAAAGACAAGUUUAAAUAUAGUGACAGUUUGUUUCCCAACAGGAAAGACAAGUUUAAAUAUAGUGACAGUUUGUUUCCCAACAGGAAAGACAAGUUUAAAUAUAGUGACCGUUUGUUUCCCAACAGGAAAGACAAGUUUAAAUAUAGUGACAGUUUGUUUCCCAACAGGAAAGACAAGUUUAAAUAUAGUGACAGUUUGUUUCCCAACAGGAAAGACAAGUUUAAAUAUAGUGACCGUUUGUUUCCCAACAGGAAAGACAAGUUUAAAUAUAGUGACAGUUUGUUUCCCAACAGGAAAGACAAGUUUAAAUAUAGUGACAGUUUGUUUCCCAACAGGAAAGACAAGUUUAAAUAUAGUGACAGUUUGUUUCCCAACAGGAAAGACAAGUUUAAAUAUAGUGACAGUUUGUUUCCCAACAGGAAAGACAAGUUUAAAUAUAGUGACAGUUUGUUUCCCAACAGGAAAGACAAGUUUAAAUAUAGUGACAGUUUGUUUCCCAACAGGAAAGGCAAGUUUAAAUAAAGUGACAGUUUGUUCCCCUCUUGGUGCAUUUCUCCCUCUGCUCCUAAAAUGGCCAUGUCAUUCAUCCCAGCAACAGUUACAGAUUGUGGAUGUGUUGAGUGAUUACUGCAUAUUAACUUAAAUAAACAGUCUUUAUAUG